UACGUAGGGUGCGAGCGUUGUCCGGAAUUAUUGGGCGUAAAGAGCUCGUAGGCGGUUUGUCGCGUCUGCCGUGAAAGUCCGGGGCUCAACUCCGGAUCUGCGGUGGGUACGGGCAGACUAGAGUGAUGUAGGGGAGACUGGAAUUCCUGGUGUAGCGGUGAAAUGCGCAGAGAUCAGGAAGAAUACCGGUGGCGAAAGCGACUCUCUGGACGGCAACUGACGCUGAGGCACGAAAGCGUGGGGAGCAAACAGG
rnacentral:rRNA from 1 species